UACGAAGGGAACUAGCGUUGUUCGGAAUCACUGGGCGUAAAGCGGGCGCAGGCGGACUAUCCAGUCAGGGGGGAAAGCCCAAGGCUUAACCUUGGAAUUGCCUUUGAAACUGAUAGUCUGGAGUGUGUGAGGGGGUAGCGGAAUUCCGAAUGUAGAGGUGAAAUUCGUAGAUAUUCGGAGGAGCACCGGUGGCGAAGGCGGCUACCUGGCACACAACUGACGCUGAGGCCCGAAAGCGUGGGGAUCAAACAGG
rnacentral:rRNA from 1 species